AAGAAAAAACAUCACCCAGUUUAAAGCUGGGCGUACACUGUGCGACUUUUUCACUCGCAGCGUUCAGCUUCAGCUCAAACUGUACGACUUCCUCGCAGAGCAGAUCUCACCAGCCAUGUGCUCACACUGUACGACCCAGUUCUCGCAUGCGACCCGACUGCUCACAUUGUACGAGUGGCAUGAACUACCGCAGCUAAAAAUUAGCCAGUAGAUGACGCAACACGUUAGAAUUACAAACACGAAGAAGAAAACCCCGGAAGUAAACAACAGGGAAAACGAAAACCACGAGUUCGGUUCCGAGCAGAAAAGCGCUUGCAUGCUCGCUGUUAACCGCAAUAAUGCUCGUGAAAACAAGACGUUUGUCUUUGGCUCUUCUUGCCAUCAUGUGUGUCGAUGAAAAGAAAAAGAGAAGACAAAUGUGGACAAAGAAAUGGCUGGGCAGACGUUGCCAGUAUGGUUUGUCAAAUCUACAGCGGGAAUUGGAGGUAAGAUGUUUGAAAUUAUCUUUUCCUUAUGUAACUACAAUUGUAUCUAUUGAAUUAAAUUACAUUUUGACCAGCUGAGGGACUUUGGGGUGGUGGGUGGAGUGACAACCGCCAUUUGUAAUGCUGUUGCAUUGAUGUGUGAAAUAGAUCGAUGAUAUGAAGGGGUUUCGGGACCUUCUCCGCAUGUCUGUGGAAGAAUUCAAUGACCUUCUGGAGAGAGUGACCCCUCAAAUCAUCAGGAGAGACACACACCUGAGGAAGGUGAGACCUUCAAUUCCUUAUCUUUCCAGUUCAGGAUUGGGAGCACCACACUGAGCCGCAUUGUGAUGGAAACCUGUGCAGCCAUAACUCUAGUAUUACGUGAGGAAUACCUAAAGACACCAUCAACUGAGACUGAGUGGAAGGUCAUCGCUAAAGACUUUGAAGACAAGUGGCAUUUUCCACAUUGCAUAGGGGCCAUAGAUGGGAAACACAUCUUCAUUUAACCCCCUGCCAACAGUGGAAGCACGUUUUAUAAUUACAAGUCAAGGUUUUCCAUCAUACUUAUGGCUGUAGUUGAUGCAAAUUAUAGAUUUGUAUAUGCAAGCGCAGGGACACAAGGAAGGGCGUCUGAUGCUGGAGUGUUUGCCCAUUCUGAUCUCAGAGAGGCUAUGGACACAGGCACUCUGAAUGUCCCUCCUGAUGCAACCCUGCCAGGCACUGACUCCACAAUGCCAUAUGUGCUCAUUGGUGACGAAGCAUAUCCCCUUAGGCCAGAUCUGAUGAAACCAUAUCCAUCACAGAACCUCAACCAUGAUCAAAGGAUUUUCAACUACAGGCUUUCCAGAGCACGCCGUGUUGUUGAGAACACAUUUGGAAUUCUGGCCAAUCGCUUUCGCGUUUUCAGAACCACAAUUUGCCUGCAUCCACACAAAGUUGUUGCAAUUGUUUUUGCAACACUUUGUCUCCACAACUUCCUCCGACAACAGAGAUCAGAUGCCUACACACCACCUGGCUUUGUGGAUUCUGAAGAUGCAAACCAUCAGCUGGUCAGUGGCACAUGGCGAAGUGAGGGAGCCCUUCAGUCAGUUUCGGCAAGCAGAGCUAGGAACCCCUCAGUGGAUGCUAAGAAACAACGUGAUGUGUUAGCCCAGUACUUUGUCUCACCUGCAGGAAGAAUUUCCUGGCAGGAAAACAUGGUGUAGCUUCAUAUGCGUUAAACUUCUGUAAAUAAAGCGAGAGCAUUGGUUCCACUCAGUCAUUGGCUCAGAUGGUCUUCCUGUCUGGCUGUUAACUUUCUCUGAACAAGAACAAGACAUUGAUUAUGUGUACGGAACUGCAUUUAAAGGCUGAUUUCAACUGUUAGGGUGGAUUCUUUUGAAAAUUCAUAAUGUGUGGGAGUGGAGUGAUGCAUUUUCUUAUGUUUGCAACAUUUGUGAACAAUACAUUAAAGAAUUUUUCAAAAAGAGUUUUUAUUUAUGAAAACUAUUUAAACAAUGGCAGAUAAAAAAAACAGGAAUUUACAUAUACACCAAACAACCUGUGUGGGAGAAAAAAGGGCAAACUUUUCCUUUUUAAGACAAAAUGAUGAUUUAAAAAAAAUACUAAAACAAAGAUACUAUUGAUAAAAGUAAUUAACUAGUCUGAGUUGAGCAGGUGUCUGUAUGACAUUGGCGAUGGUGAUUGCAAAAAGUUGUCAUUCCGUGGUGGCUGGAACUGUUGCGUGUGGAAGGAAGGUGCAGGACUGACAUGUGGAACAGGACAUUGUCCAGCCUGUUCUGCCUCUUGUGCAUCAUAACUUAAGUUCAUGAUGCUUCUCCUGAGCCUCAGCUGUAAAUGUUUGUCCUUGACUUUCCGCAUUUCUGCAGCUACUUGUUGGCCAAACUGCUCCUCAGCAUCCGAUUGGUUCAGUGAACUCUUAAGUGAAUUGUUGAAUUUGAAUUGAAUUGAAUUACAUCAGUUCGUUAGUUACUGUUUCAAGCAAUAAAUAGGCAAAUGUAUUAUCUAAAGUUACUACAUGUUACUGUUAAUAUUGCUUGAUUGUUACUAGAAACAAUACAGUUCAUCGAUGCUUACCUGGCAGCUGCAACUGUGUGGCAAUUGCUUGCCAAUCUUUCUCCCGGUUGUUGCGGUCGUGAUACGUCUUUGUGCCCACAUCGUAAAGGUUUGCGUGACCUUGCCAAAGUUCCACAAUUUGGGCCUCCAUUGCUGAAGUCCAAACAACACGUUGUUGUUCCGUGGCCAUGCUGCUGCUCUUGAAUUGUUGUAGUCGUCGUCUUGCCUGAUUUGUUUAUUUGUCGCUUCCGCUUCCUAAAUUCCGCCCCUGCUUUCGUGUUUGCGCAUGCGCCGUGAGCGGUUCUGAUACUUUUUGGGUCGCAGCUGCUCGCAGCGCCGCUUCAACAGUGCGAUACCCUCACGAGGGACGAGCGAAAUAUUAAACACGCCAGAAGUCCGUGCGACCUCACGACUGCUGAUCGGUAGCUGGUCACGUGGUGUUAAUUGCCUCUCGUAACCCCCUGUACACUACACGACCGCUCGGCGCAAAACUCGCCCCGAUCUCGUGGAUUCUCGCACAACUGGAAAAUCGGCUCAAAAAAGUGAAAAAGUCGCACAGUGUACGCCCGGCUUAAAGCAGAAUGUCCUGUUGUGGAGAUACGAUCUAAACCAAUCCAGAGCAGACCCUUUGAUCCCAACCCAUCGUUCCAAGCGAUCGAGUAGAAUCGCGUGGUCAACUGUGUCAAAGGCUGCCGUCAGAUCUAACAACAGAAGCACCAUAGAUCUAGUGAUAGAUAGAUAUCAUUUAGGACCCUCAGUAGAGCAGACUCUGUGCUAUGGCCAGACCUGAACCCUGAUUGGAAAACCUCAAACAGAUCAGAGUCAGCUAAAUGUGAGACCAGCUGCUGAUAAACGACUUUCUCAAGCAGUUUAGAUGUAAAGGGCAGGGUAGAGAUAGGCCUGUAAUUUUCUAUCACAGAGACAUCAGCACCAGGUUUCUUCAGGGUCGGCCGAAUAACUGCUGCUUUCAAAGCAGCUGGGACCACACCUGUGCUGAGGCUUCCAUUGAUAAUCUGACCAAGUGAAGGGCCAAGGCACGGAAAGGCAGCCUUCCAGAGACGAGGCGGCAAAACGUCAAGUGGAGAGCCAGAUGGCUUCUGCCUCGCAACUAGCUUACUCAGCUCAGAGUAUGAAACAGUAUUGAGGGAGCUCAGGGUGGGUGGUGAUGGAGGAACUGGAACAGGGUCAACAGAGUUACCAGAAAUAGCUGCUCUAAUGCCCGAUACUUUAUCAACAAAGAAUCUGUGAAAAUCUUUAGAGUUUCCAGCAGCUGUAGGAGACAUGAAGCUAGGCUCGUGAUACACCAGAACAGAGUUUAGUGUUUUGUAGAGAAUCUUAGGAUUAUUGGAGUUUGUCUCAAUGAUGUCUGCAAAAUAGGCCGUUCUAGCAGCCCUCACAGCAUCCUGAUAAGCAACCAGAGAUGCUCUGAACAACGCACGCGAGACCUGUAGGCCAUCCUUUUUCCACUUUCUCUCAGAGGCUCUACUCGCCCGCCUACAAGCCCGUGUGACAUCAGAGAGCCAAGGCUCCCUCCUAGGCCAAGACUUGAAAAGUUUGAGAGGGGCAACCACGUCCAGGACCUGAUUACAAAGUAAAUCAAAGUGUUGUGAAAAGUGUUCAGUGUUAGAUGGAUCUGGGUUAAAGGUCUCUAACCUUACAGACAUACAGUCCACAUACAUGUCAUGAAACAUGUUCCAAGUUACAAGACUUGGUACAUGUUACAUUGAAUAUUGUCCCAAUCCUAGCUCCAUAUUUUUACACCACAUAUUUGUUCACCCUGUCUCGAGAAUGGAUUAAAUUACAGCGUACUUGACAGAAUAAAACUUUGAUGGUUACUAAUGUCCGUGGAUAGCCUGACCAUGAGCCAUUAAAACUGUUCGCUCAUAUAGCUCCUACCUGUCUUCCACUGCAAUGGGGAGUCCCACAGGGCUUUGUACUGAGACCCCUCCUUUUCUGUAUCUACCUCUUGCAGGGCAAAUCCUGAAGCGGUUUGGUCUAAUUUACCACAUAUACGCUGAUGAUUGCCAGCUAUGUGUGGCAGUGGACACACCAAAUGCUGGUGCACAUUUUUCGGACUGUUUGACUGAGGUGUAGGGCUGGUUAGCAGCCAACGUUUUGCUGAUAAAUGAGUCUAAGACUGAGGCAAUACUUUUCGUGGAUCCGUGGAAAGACUCUCAUGCACAUCAUUCCCAUAGCCUUCCUGACCUCAACUUUAAACAAUGUGUGACUAGCACUGGGGUAAAUUAGAUGCUGGACUCUCAAUGGUUCCAAAAUUAAUUCAGUGGUCAAGUCAUGUUUCUGCCAAUUGUGUCGACUUAAACCUCUAUCUGCUCAUGUCUGAAAGAAGGGCUCAAGUCUACACCGUCCAACGUUGAUGCCAAAAUGAGCACCAUUCCUGAGCUGACGCCAUCUUUGUCGUUUUUCUCCGUCGCAGCUCUAGGGUUAAGCCCGCCCAGCAUGUAGAGCACUGUGAUUGGCCAGACACAAAACUAGGCCAAUAGUAGACCUAAUGAGGUUACAAUGGAGUGAGUGUGGCCAGACACCUGCAGAGCAAAUUCUUUCUGCUACUGCUAGGGUUGGUCUAGAUUUUUAGGCUAGUCUGUGCAUGCAUUUAGGCACUAAUCAGGGAUGUCCCUCACUGGUGUGAGGGUUGUAAAAUGCAAAGUCCUGACAUGGUCAAUUUUAUACGGAGCCACAACAAGUUAUAGGAUUAUGCUGCAAUGUUUCCCCUGUCACCUUCCCUCUCAUAAACAUUUCCUGAAGCUCCUUUAGUGGAAACACAGUUAUGGUGAAUUUUUCAAGUAUUGAGCUCAGAAAAAAGACUAUUUUUUUAAAACAUAUGUUUCUCUUUAAAGUGCUAUGAAACUAAAUAG